GACGAACGCUGGCGGCGUGCCUAAUACAUGCAAGUAGAACGCUGAAGGAGGAGCUUGCUUCUCUGGAUGAGUUGCGAACGGGUGAGUAACGCGUAGGUAACCUGCCUGGUAGCGGGGGAUAACUAUUGGAAACGAUAGCUAAUACCGCAUAAUAGCAGUUGUUGCAUGACAACUGUUUGAAAGGUGCAAUUGCACCACUACCAGAUGGACCUGCGUUGUAUUAGCUAGUUGGUGGGGUAACGGCUCACCAAGGCGACGAUACAUAGCCGACCUGAGAGGGUGAUCGGCCACACUGGGACUGAGACACGGCCCAGACUCCUACGGGAGGCAGCAGUAGGGAAUCUUCGGCAAUGGGCGGAAGUCUGACCGAGCAACGCCGCGUGAGUGAAGAAGGUUUUCGGAUCGUAAAGCUCUGUUGUAAGAGAAGAACGAGUGUGAGAGUGGAAAGUUCACACUGUGACGGUAUCUUACCAGAAAGGGACGGCUAACUACGUG
rnacentral:rRNA from 1 species